AAAAUCUUAUGUGCUGCGUUCACUGACUCCAUCCUCUCUGACUGUUACUGACGCAGUUUACUGCUGAGGAAAAGCGGAGGGGACGUAACAAAAGCAGAGUGAAACGGAGCGCUGUGAUUGGUCAGAAUGUUUGUGGCUGUGGGAUUGUGGACCCUCUGUCCCACAAGCCCCUCCCUGGUUUUUCCUUCCCGAAGUUUUUCUCUCCUGAACUUUGACGCUGAUCGUCUCCGUGUGAAGCUCCGUGUUAAGGUAACGUUAGCAGUGUGUAAUGUUUCCUGGCUAACAUCAGCUGUGUGCAGCUUAGUUCAGCACAAAUCUGCCGCUCCAUAGUUCUGAUAGUUAUUCUGAUUCACGGUAACGGACUCACAGCUGGACCGAGAGGCUGACCGCGCCCUGAGCUCCGAGUGAGGCCGCUGUAGAAAGUGUGUGUGAGCUGAAUUGAGCAGCAUGGAUCAGUGUGAGGACAGAGAGGAGGGAGUCCCUCCCUCUAAAACCACUCUGUGUGGGGAACAUGAGAGCCAGACCAAAGCUCAGAGGAACCAGCCUGGACCUCCACCCAGCUCUGUGUCCUUAAGGAGUGACCGGUCUAAUGAUCGCUGGAUUAAUUUUAAAGUCCAGCCUGUGUCUGCUGCAGAGAGGGCUGUUUGAUGACGAUUUGGACUCCUCUGGGAGAUGAGGACACACCCACAUCUGUUCCAUACUGCAGCCAUGGAUGGUGUUACAGCUCUGAGUCAGCUUUGGGCCAUCAGAUGCACACACUGGAAAACCAGCGCCUGUACUUCAUGCAGGAGAGAUGACCUCAGUGAUGAUGGACUCUGCAUCCUCUACUUUACCUCCUAAUCUCUUUCUCUUUAACACACAAUUAAAAUCACUCCAAAAGAGUGUAAACUUACUGAGGAAGUCUCUAACUUGUACACAUUUGUACUUUUACUUGUUUUAUGAGUUAUUUUUAAGAAGAGUAAAGUUAUUCACAUAAAGUUUUUAUUCUUCUGUAUUUAUUCUUUUGUAUCAUGUACCACAGUCAUACUGAACUUUACAGACCUGGUGAAUUGGGG
ensembl:lncRNA